CGCAACACCAUUGAGGAAAACCAGAUUCAAAUUAAGAUAAUUUCAUAGCAUUUUCAUUUUUUUUUGAACAAAAAAGAUGAAAGAAAGUACCUAUCUCCUAUCGUAAUUAUCUAUCUCCUAUCAUAACUAUCUUGUUUAAAACAGGUAAAAGUUUUGUUAUAUUUCCUAGAGCUCGAUGAAGCCUGCACCAGUUAAGCAGGGAGAGCUUUCUUUGAAAUGACAUCGAAAGAUAUUCCUUUCUGUUGGAGUCGUUCUUGAAGAUCAGUAGGGCCAAAUACAAUACCUGGGGGGAAAACUCCUCCCUUUGGCAGGUUGUCACGUUCGCUUAGAAGGAUAAGAGCACAUUGAACUAGGAUUAUAGGGGUUGUCAAAUAGCCAAUCUCAGGCCCCAUUAGUCUUGUUACUAUUUCCAUAUCUGGUUUCAUGUUUGCCUGUGAAACUUGAUUCCCAUCACUGAAACCACGUCCAACAAACCACAUCUUAAAUGUAGCACUUCUCACCUCAUCCUCUGAGGGGCCCUUCUUCCUAAACCAUCCAAGACUAAAAAAAGAUGGAAAUUUAAAUAGAAGCCACCUCCCAAUAGCAUUUCCACCCAAUAGACCCAUGAACACGCCAACUGUUAUAAACCGAAUGACACCCGAUAGAGUUUUAGAGGCAAGCUUCACCCCAAAAUGGGCAGGCUUCAUCAUUGACCAGAAAGCCUCUCUCUUUUUAAUAUGUUCAGCACUCUCAUUAACCCCAGGAAGACCUUGGGGGUUUUCUGUCAGUGUUGCAAGAGUUCUUCGAACAACAAUAGAAUCUGCAGAAGGUAGCUUUACAGCCCAAAGACGAAUCUCCUUUGAGUGUUCAAUCAGUCGUCCUUUAGGAGGAAAGGGUCCAGGAAUCUGCAAAUAUGCAUGUAAAUCAUUAACUAUAGUUCAUGGUCCAACUCCAACUAGGAAGACAAAACAAACGCGAUUAGAAAGUUCGCAGAGAUCUGAAAGGUAGAAAAAUAUCCAAGUCCAUUUAAAAAAAAUAAAUAAUAAAUAGAAGAGAGAGAGAGAGAGAGAAAUGAUGACAUAUUUUCCUCAAACAAAGCAGUUAUCACACUGUAGAUUCAAUUGAAGCACAAUAAUUUACAACUUCGAAACCUUUAUGUGAAAAAUCAGUCUAUAUUUGCUAUUAUCCCAUCUUGACUAAGAGACGGAUUAAGAAGGUCACAUUAGAGGCAAUCUAAUUGUAAAAUUUUUACCAUAUUAGAGAGAACCUAAGUGGGCAGCAAUACUUUGCAAUAGAAGAGACUGAAUAACCUCUUAAUGAAAUAAGUAUACUUAGUGAAAAUUUUACCACCCACUUGAAACAGUUUCACCAUAAAUAUUAUGUUCAUCAAGGCAUUUCAAACAUGAUUCUCUUUCAUAAUAAUAACAAAAGUUAAUGUGAAAAUUGUCAUUCAUUUUUCCUCUUUUCCCCACAAGAAUCAAAGGCAUGAAAACCUUCACAACCUUAUUUCGACCAGAAAUUGUCAUUGAUUUUUUCUCCUUUUCCUCACAAGAAGGCCGUGAGCCAAGCAAACCUUCGCAACCUUAUUUGGACCAUAAAGAGGCAACCACAAAAGAGAUAAUGGAAAUCAUUGUUACUUAGCAUUGAGAAGUUUGAAAAAACACAUGUUUCAACUGUUGGACUCCCACUAGAGAUGUUAUCACUGACACGCCAUGUAAUUCCGGCAUUAUAGCUGAAGUUACAACCACUCUGUUGGCAGUCCUGUCUCUACUGUUACCAACAAUGUCCAUUUCAGCAUUGAACAUAGAAACAAGAAAAUAAAUUAUUAAAGCAAAGGUUAUAAGAACUGUUUAAGAGAUUGAGUUUGAUAGUAGUAAUAAAGUACAUUAUCCCAGCAUAAAGUGCAACCACUAGCUAAAACCUCAAAGAGGAAAAUGUUCCACUUACACCACCGGAACUAGAAUGGGAGUAAUGCUUAGCUGAGCUGUUAAUUCAAAUAGCAGAAUGAAUAUGUUUUGAAUCUGCUGCAGCCUACUGCCCACUGAUAUAAUACACACAAAAAUACAUAUCAUGUAUAAAAAACCAACGUUUAUAAUAUUAUUAAUAUUAAUUCCUAACAAUUGUUUGCACUAAUCCCCAUGAUUGAAAUAGAUAAACUCCUUACCACGGGCUUUGCCCUUUUAGGUCUUGAACGCCUCAACUCCUGCAACUUUUCCGCAUUGGACACUCCCAAAAUUGCAGAUUCAUAUGUCCCAAAGUUCCCAACAAUCCUUUUCUCCGACUCCAAGCUCAAAUAGGCCUCAAUUUGGUUUGGUACAGCCGGGGACACCCAUUGCCUGGAAUUAAACAUCCACCCCAAUUCAGCAGGAACCGAAUCAAACCCACAUGCCGAAACCACUAAAGAACCAGUCUCCAUUGCAUUCUCGUGGAACUUCAUUUCCAUUCUCUCCAUAAAUUCAGGCUCCCCACAUAUAUCCAAGUAAUCGCACCCAGACUGAGCACAAGCAGCAACAACGCGCUCACCAUAGAGGCGAAAAGGGCCAACGCAAUUGAGAAUGAGCUUGGUUUGGGUGCAGAGAUGACGGAUUGAAGAAGGGUCGGUAGUGUCGGCUUUGAGGAUAGGGAUCGGAGGAGAAGUGCUGGGGUGGGAAGCCCAAUUGAGGGCUUGGGUUAGUUUAGUGGGGUUGCGACCUGCUAGAGCAAGGGAUUUAAGGGGAGAAGAAGGGAUGUUGAGGAACUUGAGGGCUUCUCUGACAACAUAUUUACCUGUAAAGCCUGAGGCUCCCAGGAUUACUAGGUCAUAAGGAGGAGAUGGAGAUUGGCUUUGAUGAUCCAUGAAAUUGGUUAAACACAGAGUGUGGAAGGCUGAGAAAUUUAUUAGGGUUUGGACGUGAAGGGUAGAGAGUGUUUUAGCUGUGGGUCUACAAAUGUGUGCCUGUUAGCGAGUUUGGAAAGCGUGGAGGUUGAUCAUCUAGAAUUGAAGCUCCGCAGGACAGCAGCAAGAACAGUCAUUCAAGAGCCAGAUUGUUUUAUUUAUUAAUUUUAAUAAAAUUAAUUACGUAAUCAUUAUACUUUUAAAAAUAAGCUUUUUAAGUUUU
rnacentral:misc_RNA from 1 species